GUGUGAUGAUGAAACCCAUGCGUGUCAACUGACUCUGUAAACUCCGGCUGUGCUGGCGCUCAGGUCGGCGUUCUGUCUGCUCGAGUCGCUGGCACAGCAGGGGUCCAGAGACAUGAUCAUACAUCACUAUUUCUGAAUGC